rnacentral:rRNA from 1 species
UACGUAGGGGGCAAGCGUUGUCCGGUAUCAUUGGGCGUAAAGCGCACGUAGGCGGCCCUGUAAGUCCGUUGUGAAAGUCAAAGGCUCAACCUUUGAAUGCCGAUGGAUACUGCAGGGCUAGAGUCCGGAAGAGGCGAGUGGAAUUCCUGGUGUAGCGGUGGAAUGCGCAGAUAUCAGGAGGAACACCAAUAGCGAAGGCAGCUCGCUGGGACGGUACUGACGCUAAGGUGCGAAAGCGUGGGGAGCGAACAGG